rnacentral:rRNA from 1 species
CAAUAGCGUAUAUUAAAGUUGUUGCAGUUAAAAAGCUCGUAGUUGGAUUUCUGGUCGGAAGCUCCUGUCCUCUGAUGAGCGUACAAGUGCGUCCUACCAUCCUUCUGUUAACCUUUAAGGCUUUCGCGGCUUUCUAGGGGCUCAGAUAUUUUACCUUGAGAAAAUUAGAGUGUUUCAGGCAGGCUAGCGCCGGAAUACAUUAGCAUGGAAUAAUGGAAUAGGACUUUUGCCUCUUCUGUUGGUCAUGAGGCUCGAGUAAUGAUUAAUAGGGAUAGUUGGGGGCAUUAGUACUUAACUGUCAGAGGUGAAAUUCUCGGAUUUGUUAAAGACUAACUUAUGCGAAAGCAUUUGCCAAGGAUGUUUNCAUUG